CUAGAGCCCUCCAUGUGUGACCCUUUUAGGAUCCUCCUUUUUACCUAGCUUCCUUGGGGUUGUGUAUGAUAGCCUGUCUGUCCUUUGCUUUGCAGCUAAUAUCCACUUAUGAGUGAGUACAUACAGAAUUUGUCUUUCUUAGUCUGGCUUACCACACUCAGAAUGUUAUUUUUUUCUAGUUCCAUUCAUUUGCCUGUAAAUUUCAUGAUGUCAUUGUUUGUUUGUUUUUUAACAGCAGAGUAAUACUCCAUUGUAUAAAUAUAUAUUACAUUUGUUUUAUUCACUCUUCAGUUGAGGGGCAUCUAGGUCAUUUCCAGGUUCAGGAUAUUAUGAAUAAUGUUGCUAUGGACAUUUUUGAGCAAGUGAACAAUCCAUCUCCACCCAUACUUUGGUUUGAAAUGAAAAAGUCUAUUUCUUGGCUCCUCCAGAAGUAAACAAUAGAAUGCUUCUCUAUAGUGUUCAGAGAAAUGCAGAAUCAAGAGACUUAUUUCUUCCUCACCAGAAAUCCUGUCCCUAUCCUCAGGACAGAAGUCAAUCUGUGAACAACUUGAAGCAUCAGUUUAAUAAACCAAGAGAGCUGACUCCAGACCCACUGUUCUACCCCUGUCCUCAUGCCAAUUCCAGAGUGAGACUUCAAGAGUACAUGCAUCAAAUGAGAAUGCAAAGGUUGAAGAUUGAUAUCUUAAAUGAAGGGGUUGAGAGCCCUGUGAUCUAAUGGUUCACAUUCUGAAAGAUAAAAGCUUCCCUAGGGAUCAUGAGUGGCUAAGAUGUACCAAGAUCUGUCCUUCCUGGACAUCAACAAAGGAUCAUCGAAGGUGGGUAGUCUUCCCCCCCACCCCCCCACCCCCCACCCCGAGGAAUUUAACCCGGAGCCCACUUCAUUUGUCAGGUUUCUAGAUGCUGUCUAAUGUACAUGUAGGUCAUGGAUAGUGAGAUCUCCUUCUCUUCCACUGUGUAAAGCAGCAGAGGAAAACCCGAUGCUGGUGCUGUUCAGAGCUUUGCUGACUUAUGGUCAAAACCUGGAGGGAAGAUCAGCUGAAAUACACCAACACUGGAAAGAGCUACCAACUGUAGUAAGCAUUCCAGAAGUCAUCUGAUUUUCUCCAUUAUCCUCUAUCACUCUCACACCUCGACACAACAGGUAGAGUAUCCACAUAUUUAUGCUCUCUAAGAUCUUAGUGUAUACUCACCACAGCUGUCAGUUGAAGGGAAAGGGGGAAGUUUCAGAUCAAUGUUGACUUUGGAAUUUAAAGCAAUAAUGAUUAAGACUUGCUAACACAUAAACCAUGUGACUUGAG
rnacentral:lncRNA from 1 species